GGGAGCCGUAUGACGCGAGAGUGUCACGUACGGUUCUACGAGCGGCUACGGGGGCAGUUCCUGUGGCCGACUCACC
rnacentral:ncRNA from 1 species